CCUCUGCGUCACCCUGGCUCUUGCUGGGAGUGGACGCUGCUGGCCAUGGGCUCCUGGAGCCCAUCACUGCACCCAGGCAAGGUGCCCACAGGAGUUAGUGAGAAACGGGGGGCUGAGUGAAGAGGGGAGACCUGGAGUGGUCACAGGCCUGCUGGUAUCCCUGGGGGUGCCAAGGUGCUCCCUCUCUCUGAAGGACACCCUAUCCUCUACCAACCAGCCGAUGUGUGGGGCCCGGAGCCCACCACCAGAUGGCGCCACGACCCUGCAGACGGGCUGAAGGUUUCAGGGGCCCCCAGGAGGGGGCGCAGGGGGCUGGCGCGUGGAGCAGGGACCGGCUGGGCCCGACACCUCCUCCCCACUUGAGUCCGCGCUUCCUGCUUGGCCUGGGGCGGCGGCUGGCUGGCCUUUGGGGUCAGAAUGUCCCUUGCGAGUUCUACUAUGUACAUCACGUGGGGCUCUCACCACCCUUAGCUGGGGGGUCCCUCACCUGCUUCCCCCAAAGAGCCGGGGCUCCCACCUGUGGGCCUUCCCAGGAGAAGGGCUGGCCCCAUGUUGCCUGUUUGUUCGUGGGCAGCUGGGCAGCCGUGGUCGGUGUGAGGACGCCCCAGGUUCACAGGUACCCUGGCCGGUGCUUGGGAGCUUGGUCAGAACGUGGCACAGCAGACAGGUCAUUGCCACAGACCAGAGGCUCCCGCGUCCUGCCACAAGGACCGGCCCCCGACGGGGGAAGCGGCCUCAUCACCCAUCUUCCAAGGGAGGACGCGGGCUCAGAGAGGUGCACGGCUGCCUGCGGCUGCACAGCAGCCCACCAGGCAGAAAAGGAGCCGGUGGCCGGGAAGGGGGUGAGGGCGAGACACGGCUUGUUGGAAAAGCUCGGGACCGUGGAGAAUCGGUUUUCAUCAAUGAGCGCUGUCACCAGGAGCACGGUCACGUUCCUUACCUUCUUCGACACCAUCACCUGCACCUGCACCAGCACCACCAGCACCACCACCACCACCACCUUUGCCACCACCACCCCAUCUCUACCUUCACUGCCACCAUCACCACCGUCACCGCAUCUACCUUCACCACCACCACCACCACCAGGGGGGCUCCUGGUAGCUCCUCCAGCAUCUGCUGGCCAUGGGGCCAAAGCUAGAGCUCCCGGGGAUACCGCAGACUGUAGUGGGGCUGGAUGGUCAGUGAAGCCUGUGGGGGCACACGGGUCUGGAGUGGGGCGUUGUGGGCUGACCUGGGGACGUCAUUGGUGGGCAUUGGUGGGCAUCUCCCAUGCGGGGGGCACCUUGCAGUAUCCCCGAUGCAAUCUCCCUAGUAGGUCUGGGUGCCAGGGCACGUCCCAACUUGUGGGCCUCAUGGAGGCUGAAGGUUGUGCGGCUGGGUGUGGAUGCGGGAGAGUGGGCCAUGCUCCUCGACUGGUGUUUGGGGACCCCGUAGAUCUCUAG
rnacentral:lncRNA from 12 species